rnacentral:rRNA from 1 species
CCUACGGGUGGCUGCAGUGAGGAAUAUUGGUCAAUGGCCGGAAGUCUGAACCAGCCAAGCCGCGUGCAGGACGAAGGUGCCAAGCAUUGUAAACUUCUUUUGUCAAAGGACAAAAUCAGGCUCGCGAGCCUACCCGAGGGUACUUUACGAAAAAGCAUCGGCUAACUCCGUGCCAGCAGCCGCGGUAAUACGGAGGAUGCGAGCGUUAUCCGGAUUUAUUGGGUUUAAUGGGUGCGUAGGCGGGCUGUUAAGUCAGCGGUAAAAGCCCGGGGCUCAACCCCGGCGAGCCGUUGAAACUGGUGGUCUGGAGAGGGCGUGAGGUAGGCGGAAUGCGCAGUGUAGCGGUGAAAUGCUUAGAGAUGGUGCAGAA